GUAAUGCCUAGGAAUCUGCCUGGUAGUGGGGGAUAACGUUCGGAAACGGACGCUAAUACCGCAUACGUCCUACGGGAGAAAGCAGGGGACCUUCGGGCCUUGCGCUAUCAGAUGAGCCUAGGUCGGAUUAGCUAGUUGGUGGGGUAAUGGCUCACCAAGGCGACGAUCCGUAACUGGUCUGAGAGGAUGAUCAGUCACACUGGAACUGAGACACGGUCCAGACUCCUACGGGAGGCAGCAGUGGGGAAUAUUGGACAAUGGGCGAAAGCCUGAUCCAGCCAUGCCGCGUGUGUGAAGAAGGUCUUCGGAUUGUAAAGCACUUUAAGUUGGGAGGAAGGGCAGUAAAUUAAUACUUUGCUGUUUUGACGUUACCGACAGAAUAAGCACCGGCUAACUCUGUGCCAGCAGCCGCGGUAAUACAGAGGGUGCAAGCGUUAAUCGGAAUUACUGGGCGUAAAGCGCGCGUAGGU
rnacentral:rRNA from 1 species